rnacentral:lncRNA from 1 species
GAUGUUUUGGUAAAUGCUGGGGAAGGAUUGGUAUUUUGAUAAGAUGAUAUAUGGUGGUUUUCUGAUUUUGAUUUUAAGACAUUGAAUCUUUAGGGGGAAUUAAAUCUGGAAUAUACAAGUUAGAGCCAAAUGGGGUAAUCAAAUAUACUAUAACAUGAGCUAAAUUAUAUCAAUAUAUAGUAAACCAUAUUGUUAUAAAUGAAAAUAUAUAGUAGAUAUUCGAAUAUUUGAUUUCAUCGAUUGUAACAUAAGGAACCAGAAAAUGUUUGAUCACCGGACCCAUAUGUGAAGUUGAACGGCUCUCUCUGGGUUUCAACUAAAAAGCCCCAUAGCUUUAUUCUUUCACUUAAAAAAGUAAAUUAAAAAUACUUUUUUAUUUUAUUUUGAAGGUGGUUGAUUAUUAGGCAAACAACCAUGCAAAGAAUAAGAACAUAAGUAAACAUGAAAGACAGAACAGGG